GAUGAACGCUGACAGAAUGCUUAACACAUGCAAGUCCACUUGAAUUUGGGUUUUUAACUUAGGUUUGGGUGGCGGACGGGUGAGUAACGCGUAAAGAACUUGCCUCACAGCUAGGGACAACAUUUGGAAACGAAUGCUAAUAUCUAAUAUUAUGAUAAUAGGGCAUCCUAUAAUUAUGAAAGCUAUAAGCGCUGUGAGAGAGCUUUGCGUCCCAUUAGCUAGUUGGAGAGGUAACGGCUCACCAAGGCGAUGAUGGGUAGCCGGCCUGAGAGGGUGAUCGGCCACAAGGGGACUGAGACACGGCCCGUACUCCUACGGGAGGCAGCAGUGGGGAAUAUUGGACAAUGGACCGAGAGUCUGAUCCAGAAAUUCUGUGUGCACGAUGAAGUUUUUCGGAAUGUAAAGUGCUUUCAGUUGGGAAGAAACAAAUGACGGUACCAACAGAAGAAGUGACGGCUAAAUACGUG
rnacentral:rRNA from 1 species